AUGGUCCACACCUGCUCAUCCAUUGUCGGCUGACGUCUGAGCUGCGUCCCUCCUUGGUCUGUGGUGAGUGACACUGCUGUGACAUUGGUGGAUGGGUUUUUGUUGAACAUAGAGCUUUCCCGGGUACAUAGCAGGAGUGGAGUCCCCGGGGCCUGAUUGAGCUCUGUUCACGGGGGAGGGGGUAAAUGCUGCAGGGGACUGGGGCAGCGGCACCACAGCUGCAGGAAGGGGAGGGGCCAUGGUAGUCCUUCCAGCCAGAGCCCUGGGAGAUCUAGACCCAGAGACCAAGUGAAAUGGGCAAGGCCUGCGGGGUCUGGGGCAGUGGGGGUGCGGGGCAGAGGCUCCUUUGCGCUCCCCUCUUGAGCUGGACAUUCCAAGGGUGGAAACCCCUAAAAGCAAAUCUUAUCCAAGAACUUGACAGUCCACUGAUCAGAGGUUCAUCCUUGUGAGAGGACAGUUUUGAUGCCAGGUGAGGUCUUAAUGGUCCCACGAAGUCAAUUGAAUCCGUGAAGAGUCACUCACUGACCGACACCAGCACGCGUUACCGCCCAUUCAGAGGCGCCAGGAGGGAGCUGGCUAUAGUUGGUCCACACCAUGCAGUGUGGUCAGUGUCCAUAGGGCAGUGGCCAGCUGCAUGGUGGUGGACAUCCCAGCUGAAAGACCGUGGAACGUGAAGAGAGGCCCAAGGUGUGCUGGACGGGAUGCCCGUGAGCCUCUUCCUCCCAUUUCAAAGCCUCCCCUGGUUUCCCAGACACCCUGGAGACAGGACAGGCUGAUCCUCCGCCCCCGGGAGGGGAGAUGGGGGAAGGAAGGGAAGGGGCGAGGGAGGCAGGACAGGGGGCUCUUGGGAGGAAGGGCUGUUGGGCUGUGGGCUCAGAGAGGGAUUGGGAUGGGAUUGUGUGCACAGCAAGAGGGUGGGGGGUGCUGGCAGGAGAGGAGACCAAGAGCGACCAUAUCUGUCUCUGUUCUUUGCUGUCUGAAGGCCUUGUCCCCGUGGGGCUGGCAUGUCGACCACAGGAAGGGUGAACCUGGGUUCUAGUGAAGCUGGCGAGCUGCUAGCAGGACAGGAUGGCCUCAGUGCCAAGCAGGACCCAGGGUGGCUUCAUUCUGGGGGGCAGGAGGGCAACAGGAAGAGCCCGAGAGCAACUCUGCUUUCCUAAUGUCCCAGAGGGCUGCGCAGGACAAGUCCCAGGGCUGUCCUGGUGAGGGUCAUCUCAGAAGCUUGACCACCUCUUGGCGUCCUCCCAAUGAACUUGGGGCUUUGCUUGGAGAGUCCAGCUGGUGAUUCCGCCUCCCGGGAGCAGGGGACAGUGUGGAAGGGCACCAGAGGGCAGGACGAGGCACUGCUCGCUAGUUUGGGCCCUGAGACUCAGCUAUGGUUGAGGGAUGGGUGGCCACAGGCCCUGCAGUUCAGAGUGGGGGACACUACGAUGUGCCUGGAACAUCACCCAGAAUCCACAAUGCGGCAGCAGGAAGGCAGCUGGGGGCAGCCUGCUGGUGGUCAGCUAUGUCCUCCUAAGUGCUCGGGGGUGGGUGGGGCAGGGCAGCAGGAACCCAGGUCCCCAGUGAGCAAGGCUGAGGUCACAUGCUAGGCAGGCUCCUUCUGUGGAGGGUUGUGUCACCUGUGAUCACAGAGAAGAGGGGGCUGAGGCUCCCCCACCGCCCGCUUUCUCCCGUGAUCAUCAUCCAAUUGCGAUGGAGGGAGGGCCACGGGUCACCUCUCCCUGGAGCCAGGUUACAACCCGCAUGGAGAACCAGCCUUGGUCUUGGGCUUGGAACUUCUCUGUAACGUUCUCCACACCUGGUUUGCAGUGUUUGAAUCCCGCCAGUAAUGGGGAUCUCAGAACCUUUCAACAGCAGCCGGUGCCUUUGGAGGCAGCAAGGACUGGAACGAGAGUUUCUCAUCUGAGACUGAAAAUCUGUUUCUGAGCUUCAGUGGCAGUAUUCCUCUUUCUUCUGUCUGUUUCUAUGUUUUUGUGGUGCUGGGGAUUGAACCUAGUGGGUGCUCUACCACUGAGCCACACCCCAGGCCUUUAAAAUUUUUUUUUUUGUAUUUUGAGUUAGGGUCUCACUAAGUUGCCCAGGCCGGCCUCCAACUUGUGACCCUCCUGCCUCAGCCUCCUGAGUAGCUGGGUUUACCGUCCUUCACCACUGCUGCCAGCUUCAGUAUUCAGCUUAAUUUUAUACUUGGGGCCUGUAGUGUUUUGAGUGAUGGCAUCCCCCCUCGAAACUCACGUGGAUACCCAAUCCCCAGUGCAGAAGUGUUUAGGGGUGUGGGAGCCGUCUCCAGGGCUGCACCCUCCCGAAUGGGGUCAGCAUUCUUAGAAAAGGCUCAAGACCAAAGGGAGCACUCUCUGGCCCCUCUGCGUUGUUGGAUGCAGCAAUGAGACGCCAUCCUGAAACAGAGCAGCCAUCACCAGGCGUCAACAGCAGCAUCUUGAUCCUGGAUUUCCAGCCUCAGAGCUGUGAAAAAUAAGUUUAUGUUCUUUGCAGUUUACCCAGCCUCAGGUAUUUUGUGAUAGCAGCACGAAUGGAUGGAGUCUAUUUCCUUGUAGCAGCACAGCACCCCACAUUCUUGAAGGAAGGUUUUGUCCCUUCCAAGUUUGUCUUAUUUGGUAUUAAUUAUUUUUCAAGGGGGCUGAUUUCAAGUUCUUUUACCUAUCGGUGAACUCAUUAAUUUGACUUAGUCUCUGCCCACACCCAAACUAAACAAUAGGCCAGGGAAUGUCAGGACAGGGUAGAAGAGAGAGUUAUUAUGACCGCCUUGUUAAGGAGACAAUACUUUUAUAAUGAAUUCUGUGUCCGUCAGCUUCCUGUCACUAUAGCAAAAUACCUGAGACAGUUAACAGCUAAGGAGAAAAGGUUAUUUUGUCUCCCAAUCUGGGGAGUUCCAGCCUGUGCUCAGUUGGCCUUGUCAUUUGGGCUUGUGAAACAGUGUGUCAUGGCAGGACACCAGGGAGCAAACCGGCUCAGCUCCUCCCAAGCCAGGAAGCAAAGAGAAAAUGAGGUGAGGCCCCCACAGACCCUUCAAGGGGCUCCCCAAGGAUCAAGGCCUCCCACUCAUUCCCACCAUUUCCCACUAGUGCCACCUGGGACCAAGGGCCCCCAUGGGUCUUGGGGGGACACGCGAGGCCCCACUACAGCAGAACCCGGUGCUCCAGUCAGGGCUUCCAGGGGAGCAGAACAGGCAGCUGCGAAGUGAUGCCCUGCGCCAGGGACAGACUGCUCAGCCCAGGUGGCCCUGAAGAGCAUGUUACCUGGUGACGUCACAGCUGCCAGGCUGUGUGAGCAGGGAACGGGAGGCUGAGUGAUGCAUUUCUCUGAGCGUGUCCUCUCUUUUAGGUGACCGUACACUGAUAUUUAAGAGGAGCCCGACCGUGGGAAUCAGCUCAUGUGAUUAUGGAGGCCGAGGAGUCCCACGAAACGCUGUUGGCAAGCUGGACACGCAGGCAGCGGAGCUGUGACUCAGUCUGAGGAAGUCCUGGGAACAUGCAGGGCGGGGGCCGGGGCGGCCCUGGCCUGCAUCUGAGUUUGAAGGCUUGGGAGCUUUGGGGUCCUUGGGGUGUCCCAUCCCCAGCAGAGAGAGCACAGUGACCUCCUCCACUGUUUGUCCACCCAGCCCUCAGUGGAUAGGCCCAUGCCCAUCCACCUGGGUGGACUUCACUCAGUCCACGGAGUCAGGGGCUAAGCUCUUCCAACAACGCUCAGAAAUAAAGUCUGGUGUCCCUUAACCCUGGCACGGUGACACCGAAGGUUAGCCGUCACACAGACUGCACAGCCAGCCCCAGCUCUGUUAACUCAGAGCACGUGGAUCUGCUUAGACCAAACAAGACCACACGGCCACCGUGGCCGCCGGCUGCACAUGGCUUUCCAUAGGAGGCUGACCAAACUCUCUGGGAUCCCCCAAGCAGUGCAUCAGGAACCAGGACGUGGUGUGUGAUGGGGACGGGGGGAGCGGGGUGACGUCGCCUCCCCUCAGCUUAUCCUGGAUUCCCUCUGAAGCAGGCCCUGACCCCGUCCUGGGAUCCACACCCAGCCAUCCCCUUGUCAGGGGGCUCUACCUCUGCACAAUCAACCAAUGGCAGGUGGAAGAGAUUUGGGGGAAAAACCCACAUCGAUAAAAAAGAACAAUAUAACAACAAGAAAAGUAGGAAGAAAAAAUCAACAUCACAACUGUUUACGUAGCAUUUACAUUGUGUUAGGCCUUAGGAGUAACCUAGGGAUUGUUUAAAGUACAGGGAGGAAGCCCUUAGGGUCAUAUGCAAGAACCACUGCUGUCAUUUCUAUAAGGGACUCGAGCAACCUCAGAGGUAGGUGACCACGGGGACCUGCAGCACAUCCUCUUUGGAUCCCUGUCCCCUCCUCCAGGUGCAAGGUAGCUGGGGAGCUGCUUCUGGUCUGUUGUGCUCAGCCCAGGGCAGAAGGUACAGGUGCCUGAUCAGACUUGUAACCAGUGCGCCCAGGAGCACACAGGGCCCAGGGGCUGAGGGUGGGUCUUGCUGGCACCUGGCUCCCACUCCGUCUCCGCUGCCCUGGACCAAGCUGGGCCUGCUGCUGUCUCCCCUCGUCCUUGGGUUCCCCGCGGCUGUUGACAGGUGCUGACUGCCUCCUGUCCCGUCCUUUAGGGUGCAGAGCCACCAUCAUUUCAGCAGACCUUGGCCCAGCUGCCAACUCUACUCUUCGUCUGGCCUCCCCCAGCCGCCCACCUGGGACAGGCAGCCAGCAGGACGCGCUGGACUGGGAGGGGACUUGGAGCUCCGCAGCAGGCUCCCUGGGCCUCCCGAGGGGAGGACUGCUUCCAAGAACUGCUUCCCCUCCCGCUGCCCCAGCUCUGACUCAGAGGAAACUGGAAAGAGGACAUGAAAUACCCACAGUUCCAGGGUUCCGUGGGGUCACAGGAUCUGGAGCUCUCCAAGGAGAGGAGGGAGUGCCCGCAGCCGGGGCCCACGGGGCCACGGAACCACGGAACCUCAUGGACGGGUGUCCAUAUCUGUGGUCCCAGUCUGCGAUCUGGGGCUGCUUUUCCUGUCCCUCACAGCCAUCCUGACCGGUCCUGCCUGUUCUUGCUUCUGACCCCGUCAUCCAUCGAGGAGGCCUGGGCUUCUGCACAGGGAGGUGGAGGCCUCCCUCGCUCAUGGUCGAGGCAGGUCUUGCCAGGCCAGCACCAGGAGCGCUCGGGCCUGGCCAGAAGUUUUAAUGAAGAGAACAACAAAUGGUGGGCGGGCGGGUGGGGGGGGGGCGGCUGUGAUUCCAUCUUCCCUUUUGGCAGAAACUAACUUCUCUGCGAGAACAAUGAGAAGUCAGGGUGGAGUUUCCCCUGCCACUCAGCACCCCCAGGAAAGUGCUGUGGCUGCGAGGGCUGGACGGGCUCUGCAGGGGGGUGCCUGCUGAGCAGGCCUGGAGGGCUGGUCAGUGGCCGGCCGGCUCUGCUGCCUUGCCUGUCCCUGAUGUCCUGAGCCCUUCCUGCUGCGCAGACCGCCACACUGUGGCCUAGACCACAGCAUUUGUUGGGUGAAGGCUACUGAUCCCCCACAGGGCUGGCCUUGGCGAUGUCCUGGGGUCAGUGGAGAGGCAGGCUGGGCAAUGCUGGCCAGGCAGGGGCUGGGGACGCGGGACGGCUUCCUUUGUCCCAGGAAGGAAGGCUUCUUGGAGCAGGGCACCUCACUGGACUCCUGAGUCUGGCACAGCUACGACCCAAAUCCAGGUGGUAGACACAGGACACAGCCAAGCUGGCCCCUUGCUGGCUGCGUGGGGACCACUGGGAGCUGCCUUUCCUGUACCCAGGGUCCCUCUGGGCUUCCUGGGCGUCCGGUCCUGCCCUACAAAGCUGCUCUCAACCCAGUUCCAAGCCCGGCUGGGCCUCCUUGCUGCGGGGGACAGGGACGUGGGCUUCCAGAUACUUUGACAUGGACAACUCCACUGGCCUGCGUCUCUUUUUGUCAAAGGGAGGCCCUGAGCAGGCCGGUUGUCAUUAGGGAAAGCUCAGCAUAAAGUCCACGGGAUAAAAAUGCCACCCCCCUCAAAAAAGAAAGAAAAAAGCCUCCAAGAAUGGGGGUCCCAGAGCAGCUUGGGGUGUGUGUGUGUGUGUGUGUGUGUGUGUGUCUGAGUGUGCAGCCCUGGGGCCUUGGGCACAGCUGGCUCAGCAGUGGGGAAACUGUGGAUAGGAAUCCAGGAGAUGAGGAUCUGGAGUCAGAGUUCAUGGUCAAAGAGGCCUGAGCUGCCUGAGAGGAUGGCACUCCCCGGAGGACCCUCCCAGCCCAGGGAGGCAGGUCAGGGGUCACUGGGUCUCACCCCCUGUCACCGGAGGGUCCUGAGGUUGAGGGCCCAGAGGCAAGGCCUGUCUGGCAGCGUCCCCUCCGUGUGAAGUGGGGGUGUCUAGAAUGAGGCUCUCAGGGAUGGGGACGCUGGACUUGUUCCUCCCAGUGACAGGGAGAGACACCUGCCAAACUGUGAUGGGGUCACUGAGAGGAGGUUGGGGAUUCUAUGCCUGGCUGAGCUGAGAGGCCAGAGGUGAGCUCGGCAUUAUACAGGUGAGGAAUCGGAGGUGGCCCCGGCUGCUGGUGCCGAACGGGACUUCCCCGGACACCACCCCGGUCAGGUGGGCGGCAUCACCAGGGGCCCCUGGAUCACACACGCCCGCCCAGCGCUCCCCACGUCAGUGGCACCAACUGGAGAGCUGGGGGUGGGGCAGGAGCCCUCAGAGGCUGGGUCCCUGGAGACCCAGAGAAGGCGCAGCCAGCAGCCAGGCAGCCCAGGAGCCAAGUCUCUCACAGACUCUUUGUUUUCAUUAGGGGAAGAUCUCAAUUAAAAUAAUUACAGUUACAACAAAAAAUCACUAAGAGAGAGAGGAAAAGGAGUUCAGUUAAAUGCAGAUAUAUUCAGAAGCUGUUAUGAACUGGCUCCCUCUGAAAUCACCCAUUAACAAGUUCUCGCUAAUUAUCUACCUUUUAUUGUUUUAGAGAGGAAGCGGUUCCUCCAUUCCCUCCAUUCCCCCCAUUCCCCCCAUUCCUUCGGGGCUUGUUGGAGGCCCAGGAUCGGAGGGGUCUUCACAGUGGACGACACCCCCAUCCUUGUGAUUAGGUCGCCAGCAAGCCGGGCUGGCCCUGCAGAGCCUAGCCGAGCUUCGAGCUUCGCCUUACAACGAACAAUCAGCCUUGGUUUCCAUCACUAAGUGUCCCCCUUUUUUCAGAGACGGUGAUUUGCCCUGGGACCGAGGCUCCUGUUGGGAGCAAGGCUGUGCGGCAGGAAGAGUUUGGUGUUUUAUUUGCACUUCUUGCUUGGGUGGGGGUCGGGGCUUGAUUCUUUCCCUCUGUCCCUGGGGGUGCUCAACAGCAGCAGGAACUCUGCAUGUGCAGCCCCCUCCCCGGCCCCUCCCCUGACCACCAUGACAGGUGAGGCAGAGGGUGGGCAUCACUUGGGGUCAGGGUGCAGCCUAUGAGUCUGCCAGGGCCGUCUGUCUGGACUUCUGGGACUGUCCUGCUGUCAGCUCUGCCUGCAGGAUAUGCAUUUUCUACAGUUGUGGUGUUUAGACCGAAUCCUUCAGACCCCCUGCGUAUCUAGCAGCAGCACAAAAUUCUGUCAGGCCGCAUGGUCCCAUGUGGGGUGAAGAAGGAACCUGGCUGCCCAGGAUGGGGCUGUGGACGGGGCUCUCCUCCCAGCCGUGUGUGGCAGGAGGGCCAUCAGCCCUUGGGUCUCUGGAGGUGGCUUGUGCACUUAGCUGUAAGUCCUGGCUCUCGGGUCUGUAAAACACCAAGUUCAUGGUUUUACCUGCCCCCCCCCCCAGAUUGCCUCCGAAGAGGACCACUGUGCCGUCUGGAGGAUUGGGGUGGGAGCGUCGGGGGAGCUGUCUGAGGCGCUGCAUGUCCUAGAAAAGCAAGAGCCAGAUGCCAACCACAUAAGGUGCCCAGAGUCAGCACUGAGGUCCUGUCCUGGUUGUGGGGGUGGGAAAGACCCCAGGUGUUGGUGGGAAUCCCUGGAGAGACAGCCCUGGCUUCCUGGGUGGUCCCUCAUAUGCUGGUGGGGCUCUAUUGGAAUGUGAAUGCUCCCAAGGGCACUGACCACUCCCCCGUAGGUGUGGCCCUAGCCCCUCUACUCCCCUGGUGGAAUCCCGGCCUUUCUGCCUGUGUGCCCUCAGUCUCUGUUCUCUGCCUGCAGCGCCAGCCGUGGUGUCCACCCCCUGCACGCCUGCGUCCUGGUGCCGGGCACGCCUUGCUCAUCCUACACCCCUGCUCACCAGUUAGCUCUGCAGUGGUCUUGGCUGAGGGUCUUCCUUCUGGAUGUGCGCCAGGCUCCGCGCUCCUUGCAGAGGAGUGCUGGCCAUCAGGGGACUGAGACAGCCCGAGAGGUCGAUUUGAAAACCCCAGAGCAUCACUCGGCCUCAGGGGCCCCCGUGGGUUGCCUCUGUGCGUGGCACUGUGUCACGCACAGGGGAGGAGGACACCAGAAGCAGGAGCACGGCCAGCGCUGGGCGGGGCCCAGAGUCUGCUGGAGAGCCACACGGAGUCCCCUCCUGAGGGCUCGGCUGCGGAGGGCUGCCCGCUGCUGGCCGAGGGGCACUUGAGUGUUAAGGGAGGCCAUUUCCUCAGAUCUCUCCAAGACAGAGAAGGAGCAGGGAGGUCUGUUCCAGAGAGUCGGGAAGCUGGCCUGUCCCCAAGAAGUCCCAUUGCUCUGGGUCAGUAGCACACCUGAGCCAGGAUUAAAGCCCCAUCGGCAUGAGCAAGGUGACAAAGGCCAGGCCUCGUGCAGGAGGGGGACAAGUGGGUGGGCCAGAUGCUGGCUGGUGAGUCCUGCCGUGUGCUGUCUGAGAAGGGGGAGGUGGAGGGCUGGAGGGCUGGGUGUGCAGGGGGACAGCCCCCAAGGGAGUUCAGACCCUCACCUCCCCGCUUCCUGGGUGGGGGCUUCGAGCUUGAUCCCCGACUUGAUCCCCUUGUACCUGGAGAGCAGCCAGGGGCGGGAGACAAGGGGCCGGUCGCAGGCACAUUGUGUCCCAGGUCUGGGCGACAGAGGAUUUCCUGGGCAGGCCCAGUGUCCGCCGGUUCCCAAAGGCGAGGCCAAGCAGAGCGAGGCGGCCUGUCCUUCCCCCACCAGAGGCGGUGGACACGAGCAGAGGGAGGUCAGCGGUCAGCCAGGCCCCCUCCUCCCCACUCACCUGGGCGUGACGUUCCCGGAGGAUGUGCGUUGGGUGGGGAGCUGGGCCCUGUGGGCGCUGCCAUUUCCCGGUGCCGUAUCGUUGCUAGUCUGACCUUGUUGCUUCUCCUGGGGUGCAUUUUACUUGUGCUCUGCCUCCCCUGACGGGGUGGGUACGUGGAGCAGUGCGACCCGACCAGGUAGUCCUCACCCUGAAGGUGCGGUGAGGUCCCAGUGGCCUGACCAAAGGUGACCCCUCACAGCACACAGUUCUCUGAGCUCUCUCACAGUUCACAGGGCUGCAGGAGGACCCAGGCUCAGGACUCUGGACCAUUGUGUGGUGUGCGCUGACCUCGGUGAAUCCUCCUAAGGACCCUGUCAGUGGAGAUUAUUUUACAGAAGAAGAAACUGGUCUCAGAGAGGUUCAGCACUUUUCCUAGGGCCACACAACUGAGAAUCAGCUGCACCUGGAUUUGAACUCCUGCACUCUGGUUCCAGAUCACCUGACCGCCACCCUGCCUAUCUGAUGCCAAGUGACCUACUCAGCAUGACCCCACCUGACCUCACUUCCAUCCCCAGACCGGCCCUCCUCUGCUCCCCAACUUGUCAAUGUCACCUCCAAACUCUCUCCCUGGGUUGAGAGCUGGCCUGGGCCCUUCCCUCUCAUUCCAAUCUUCUGCCCAGCGUGGGCCCCAGCUCAGCUCCUCCUCCUCCUGCCUGGCACCCCGUCUCUGUCCUGCCUGCACUGCCCAAAUGCCAAGCUGCGUUCUUCCCACUGCACCAAAGUCAAAAGCCCGACUCCUCAGGGUGUCUUGGCUGCCGGCCUCGCGGUGCCUGUGGAUUGGCUCCGCCCCACAGCCUGUUAGUCUCAUGGUGUGCUUCUACGUCCCGUGGCUCCACCCCUUACUCACGCUUCCUCAGCUCAGAUUGCCCGCACUCACUGUUGGCAGCCUGGCGAGCUCCUGUUCACACCUCAAAACCCCGCCUCCACGACCUUCCUGUAUCCUCUCCCUCCCGAGAGCUCCUUCUAACUCAUCUGAACUUUCAUUCUUCUUGUCAAUUACGGAUAUUGCUCUUACCAGUGCCCACCCCCUUUUGGACUCUGUGGAAGGUGUUGGAAGCAUCUUGCGCCUCUCCUUCCUAGAUCCACCAGAGCCUGGUCCUGGGUAAUGCUGGUGGAGUACAGGGAACGGGCUCAGCCCUUUCCCACCCACCAUCUCUCAGUGCCUUCUGGAAGAUCCUACUGAUCGUCAACUUGCAAGCCUCCGGGAGCCUUCUGCAGCCUAUUUGAGGGCUUGCCUUUGUCACCUGAUGCCCAUCUCUCAUGGCCCAGGUGCUGAGAAUCCUGCUGCUCCAUGCACAGACUUGGCCACAGUGAGGCCAACACCAAUAGUGCUGCAGCCUCGUGGAAUGGUGUUCUGCCGAGAAGGAGAACUGGAGGAAUGUUCCCAUGGCAACGGGGUCUUCCUGGAGACUGUCGGAGGGGAACAGCUCUGGUUCUGCUGGGCGCGGCUGCAGCCUGGGUAAGGCCAGGCGGAGGCCAGGGCACUGCCCACUGCUCGCUACUCUUCUGGCCGCUCCUCCACUCGGGCCUCCCUCUCACUGUUCUCUGCCGGCCUCCCUGGGCCCUGCUGGAAGGGCUGCUGUGUGCCCCGCAGGGUUCCCAGACAGCCAUCUCUUCCCGGGUGAUAACAGAAAACGUGCCUUUUGGCAACAGAGGUUUUCAUGCUCAUGUGAAAUGAUCCUCCAGAAUGCCACUCACGUGUCCAUUUCACAGACAGGGCACCCAGGCUGCACUCUGUAAGUGCAGCAGAGAAGCCGGAGGUGCAGAGGGGUGCCGGGCGGGUACCAGCCCAGACUCCUGAGCGCUGUCCUUCCCGGGAGGCCAGCAGGGGCAGUGACCUUCCCCUGACCUGCCCUCUCCUGGCAGCAGGCAUCCCUGGAGGGCAUCUUCCUGGCUCAGGUCGGGAGGGGAGGGCGAGCCCUGAGCUAACAAGGUCCCUGGCGAUUCCAGCAGGGCUCCCCCCUCCCAGCCCCAUGAACACGUUAACUGGGCGAUGAAGAGGCCAGCGCUCUCCCGCUCGACCUGGGAUCUGGGAGAAGCUCCCGAGCCCAUCAAGUGAGAGGCACCGUCACAUCUGCUGGGAAGUGUGCACACGUGUGAGCAAGUGUGUGACCAGUCGAGUGUGGACCACGGGUGAGAGCGUGCGAACCUGUUCAGGUGUGAGCAUGCGAGUGUGUCGUGUAUGCAGGUGCACGUGUGUGUGGGUGUGAGUGCACCUGUCAGGGUGUGAGAAGGCCCGAGUGUGUGUGGGUGUGAACAGGAACGCAAGUGAGGGCUGUGUCCUCGGGGCAUCGAGAAUCCCUGGCUGCUCCUCGGGGAGAGGGGACGUCAGCGGGGCCACGGGCCUCAGGGAGCUGGCCGGGUGGUCCCCAGUCCUCCCACAGCUCCGUGGUGCUGAGGCCCUGCUCGGAAUGGGGACCCACACCUGCCGGCUCUCUGGUGCCUCUUCUGUACAUGUGUGUCCUUCCAGCAGAGGCCACAGAUGUCAGAGGACACACGGAUACUGUGUUCCAUCAAAUGUGCGGCCCUCAGCCAGGCGUGGUAGAGUGGCUGGUCUACACUCCACCUUAGGGCUGGCUUGUUCUGCGGCCCUGGGUGAAUCAACCACCUGGACAACCCCUGGUCUCUACCUUGAGGCCGGGUGAGCUCCUGGUGCCCAUACACUUCCCUACCCCAUGCCACUUCUGAAGUUCCCAAACACGUGGAAUCUUCCACAGGUGCAUGAGACCAAACCGGAAACCCUGCUGUAACCUUGACCAAGUUUGACCAAGUGAGGCCCUUGACCUCCUCAGGCGGUGGCUGCAGAGUCAAGGAGCAACCGCUGGAGAUUGGUCCAGGUGCUCUGUGGUCCUGGGAAAAGAGUCCAAGAUGUGGUCCAGGCUUGGAUGAGGGCCUGACCGUGUCUGAGGGCUGCCAUCUCGUCUCCGUGGUAACAAACUCUGCACUCCCACAUCCCCCUGAGGUAGGACGGGUCACGCGUCGAGCUUCGGCAACGAGAUGGAAGAAGGUGAUUCCUGCCCUGUCCUGAAGGAGGCCCUGGGUCUCCUGGGGGACUCGCCAGCACUGUGGGAGCAGGGCCAGGUCAGACCCUGAGGCCACCCACUCUGCCUACUGCUCCAACCGGUUUAUUGAUUUAUCUUUGGUACUGGAAAUUGGACCUAGGGCGGCUCUACUCCUGAGGCACAUCCACAGCCCUCGUCCUUUUGGGUUUUGAGACAGGGUCUUGCUGAAUUGCUGAAGCUGCUCUUGAACUCACUACUCUCCUGCCUCAGCCUCCCAUGUAGCUGGGAUCACAGGUGUGCACCACUGGGACCGACUCUGCCUGGGGCUCCUUACAUGAGCCACAAAUAAACCUGUGUCGUUUGUGUCCUUUUACUUCCAGCAUUUCUGUGAUGAUAAACAGAAUGUGCAGUUUAAUUUUUUAAAGACAUCCCGUCUGGCUGGGCGUGGUGGCACAGCCUCUACUCCCAGCUGCUCAGGAGGCUGAGGCAGGAGGAUGGAACAUUUGAGGCCAGCACAUGCUCACGUGCGUGUUGGGGUUCUCAGUGCUUCUUGAAUCCGUAUCUUGACGGCUUCUGUCAGUUCUGAAAAUUCUCGGUCAUCAUCUCUUCAAGGGUUGCGUCUGUGCCCCUUCCUGCGCCUAUUGGCCGUGCACUACUCAACCACCAGCAGUCUUGUCCGGCUUCCCUGGUGUCCUUCUUCUAUCAAUUCCUUAAGUCUUGGCUCCCUAAAUGGCCCCCGAUUCCAGUUUUUGGCAUCCAGCCCGACAUGGCUGGAACACCGUCAACCUCUCUGUCUGACGGCCCUGCUCUCUGCUACCCCCUGGGCUCCUGUGCACACGGAUUAUGAAUUAGCAGACGCCUCCGGAAGGAAAGAGCGCAGUGUGGGUUACCCCCAGGCUCUAUCUCUCUGGAGCCAUGGCCUCUCUGCUCAGUCCCACUGCCUGGACAGCUCAUUGACGUUGUCAGAAAUAUUCUCUGGUUCUCCACGGGAGGCCAGGUUGUCUGCAAGCUAGUCUGUCCCCCUAGGCUUUGCGGUUUCCGUCACUGAUUUGGGGGUUGUUUAUUACAAUGGCACAACCUAGCACAUCCUGAGCACUGGAGCAGGGAUCCUUGGUGGGCAAGUGGGCUGUCACAUGGGGAUGUGACUGUGGAUCACAUGACACCCCCAGGAGGCCCCUGCAAGAGCUGCUAGUCCCUGAGCUCUGCGUGUCCUCACGGACCAGUCCAGAGCCUUUCGAUGGAAAUAUUUGCUUUCCAGGAGUGAGUCCAGGUCCUCCAGUGGCUCCUCGGUUAAUAGAGAGGGCUGACCUCGGGUUUUGGACAUCCCCCUGGUUUCCUGGGGAUGAAGCAGGCACUGUGCAAACUACCCCACUACUUAUCCAGGCACACAUAUUCAGGGUCCCGCCGUCUAUAGUGUGAAUCUGACGAGCUGUUUGUGGCUGGUGAUUUUAGAAUUGGCAUAAUAAUUCCUUUAAAUUUUCUCCCAUUUAAAAAGGGAAAGCACAUUCAAUGAUUCAAAAAUUUUAGAAAAGCAGCAAGGUGUAAAGUCAAGAAGUAAAAGCUCAUCUAAUCCCGAUUGUCUCGAUAAGAACUGUUCAUGGGGCCUACCUCCGUGUAGGGUAUGUGCUAGUGGGCAAGAGGCCCUGGUUCCAUCCCCACAAAAAAGAUGAAGAAGAAAAAGGAGGAGGAGGAGGAGGAGGAGGAGGAGAAAGAUGAAGAGGAAGAAAAUAAAA
rnacentral:lncRNA from 1 species